rnacentral:rRNA from 1 species
AACUAACGCUGGCGGCGUGCCUAACACAUGCAAGUCGUACGAGAAAGUCGGCUUCGGCUGAUGAGUAAAGUGGCGCACGGGUGAGUAACGCGUGGAUAAUCUGCCUUUUAGUUGGGAAUAACGUACCGAAAGGUGCGCUAAUACCGGAUAAUACUGCAUAACUACUGUUGUGUAGUCAAAGAAGGCCUCUGUUUACAAGCUUUUGCUGAAAGAUGAGUCCGCGUACCAUUAGCUAGUUGGUAGGGUAAUGGCUUACCAAGACUACGAUGGUUAGCUGGUCUGAGAGGAUGAUCAGCCACACUGGAACUGAGACACGGUCCAGACUCCUACGGGAGGCAGCAGUGAGGAAUAUUGCGCAAUGGGGCAACCCUGACGCAGCAACGCCGCGUGAGUGAGGAAGGUUUUCGGACCGUAAGGCUCUGUCGAGCGGGAAGAAAUGUAUCGUGGCUAAUAUCCAUGAUAUUUGACGGUACCGCUAAAGGAAGCACCGGCUAACUCCGUGCCAGCCGCCGCCGUAA